UACGUAGGGGGCUAGCGUUGUCCGGAAUCAUUGGGCGUAAAGAGCGUGUAGGCGGUCCGGUAAGUCCGCUGUGAAAGUCGGGGGGCUCAACCCUCGAAUGCCGGUGGAUACUGUCGGGCUAGAGUCCGGAAGAGGCGAGUGGAAUUCCUGGUGUAGCGGUGGAAUGCGCAGAUAUCAGGAGGAACACCGAUGGCGAAGGCAGCUCGCUGGGACGGUACUGACGCUGAGGCGCGAAAGCGUGGGGAGCGAACAGG
rnacentral:rRNA from 1 species